CCUUUUGUCCCCUGCUACCAAGUCAGGUAGGGACCAUAACUGUCUAGGAUCCUAGGAUCAGGAGCUAGGGUGGGUUUAGGGGGAAUCUCUGGGACCAGCCCCCAAACACUCCCAGCUGCUUCCUCCAGCAUGCGACACUUCCUCCUGCAUCUCAGGCUCGGGGUUAUUAAUAGCAGAUACAGGGUGAAGCCAGAGACCCAACAAGGACAAGAGAUGACCAGCUAGAUCCUGAAGGUCCGUCAACACCGUCAUAGCCACCUGCUUGGGAGCCACUCAGGAGCAACAGGACCAACCCCCAUCAGUCUCAGGGAGGGCCCUAAGGGGUAACUUCUCAUUCCACACCCUCUCCUAAACCUCCAGAAGUGGCAAGCAGAGCCCACGGCACCCAGGUUGUCAGCUGGAGCACAGUUCAUGCGAAGCCCUCUUAGUGUAACGGACACUGAGUGCUCUUGCAGGAAAACACUCAUCAUUGGCUCAAUCUGGAAGCAUUUCCAAAAGUCACCUGUCUGACACAGACAACAACAGAGACCCUAUGCGCCUGGCAAUAGCACCUA